AAAAGACCGAAUAAAAACCCUUCAUUUGGGAAUCAGAACGACGUCGCUGAAAGGGUUCUUGCAUUUCUAUGCAAAUCGAGGUCAGUUCUUCUUUGGAGCAGUGAGGUCGGUGACGAUCAAAACUUAGCUGAAAUUUCCUACGGCGAGGAACGGAGAAACGUCGAAAAUCUCGGCGAAAAUGGGAGCAGCGAGUAAAGUGGGCGAUUGGGCGUUCAAGGCCUUUACUGCCGGUCUCGGUGUCGCCACCAUUUAUCUCACUGCUACCUUCUCAGUCAACGUCUACAGAGGAUUGUCUUGGCAUAAAGCUCAAUCCAAAAUCAACGACAAUUCAAAUGAAGAGGCUACAUAAUUUGAAUUUUCAAGCCACGGAACAUCUGCAACAUCUUCAAGUUCAAAUCUCAUUUGUCUACAAAUUUUGUAUGAUCAGGUUCUAAAUUGAUGUCAAUGCUUCAGUUUAUACCUUAUAUUUUAUGGGAAGAACAUACUUUCUGUUUGGACAACUAGCUUAUUGAGGGCAUAAUUCAUACAACUUCAGCAAUUUACUGCAGAACAUUUCAACUAUUCUAAUGGGAAUUUCUUUAGGUACCUUCUUGUGGUAGUUUUUUCUUAUUCAAUAGUUUUGUUGUAUAUCAUUUGAUCCUUUUUUUUUUUGCAUCUCCUUGCUAUGCAUAUGAUGGAAGAUUAGUACCCUAUUUGAGGAUAAUGGUUGUUGGACUCUAUUAAGAAA